rnacentral:rRNA from 1 species
AGUGAACGCUGGCGGUAGGCCUAACACAUGCAAGUCGAACGGCAGCACAGGAGAGCUUGCUCUCUGGGUGGCGAGUGGCGGACGGGUGAGGAAUACAUCGGAAUCUACUCUGUCGUGGGGGAUAACGUAGGGAAACUUACGCUAAUACCGCAUACGACCUACGGGCGAAAGCAGGGGACCUUCGGGCCUUGCGCGAUUGAAUGAGCCGAUGUCGGAUUAGCUAGUUGGCGGGGUAAAGGCCCACCAGGGCGACGAUCCGUAGCUGGUCUGAGAGGAUCAUAGCCCACACUGGAACUGCGACACGGUCCAGACUCCUACGGGAGGCAGCAGUGGGGAAUAUUGGACACUGGGCGCAAGCCUGAUCCAGCCAUACCGCGUGGGUGGAGAAGGCCUUCGGGUUGUAAAGCCCUUUUGUUGAGAAAGAAAUCCAGCUGGCUAAUACCCGGUUGGGAUGACGGUACCCAAAGAAUAAGCACCGGCUAACUUCGUGCCAGCAGCCGCGGUAA